rnacentral:lncRNA from 1 species
AAGAGCUGCAGGCAUGGGGACAGGACCCAGGGGCAGUAAGAGCUGCAUGCAUGGGGACAGGACCCACGGGCAGUAAGAGCUGCAGGCAUGGGGACAGGGCCCAUGAGCAGUGAGGGGCUGCAAUGUGUUGAGGGUUAGGGCUAAAUUUAUAAGGCUUGGGUACAUGACUUAUUUUUACCAGACAAAGGAAAGAUGAUGUAAAAAGUCAUUAAAUGGAAUCAGUGCAGGUGGGGUCUGGUUAUUGUGUGGUCGUAUAACUUUAGAUAUGUAUUGGGUCGUAUAGAUCAGCAUGUAGGACAGGACACCGUGGGCUUCUCUACCUGGGGCAGCCUUGAUCCACAUCACUUUCACAAACAUUUUUGCCAACACAUUGCUUCCACUUUCUUCUGGAGGGAGAGAAUAGUAAUAAACCCACAUGAGGCCCAAAAUGUUCCAUCCUUGCUUAGCAAUAGUCAUUGGCCUUGGGGUCGGAGAAUGCUGGGUCGUGCAUCUGGCAAAGGAACUGUCUGAUUUGCUCUCUAAAUGUGUACGUGGGGAUUGUGCAAACCAACCCCCUCACUGAACACGCUUACCACCCUCUAGCUCAGCCCAUGCCUUCUCCAAGCACGGCUUUCCCCUGGGUGUUAGCAGCCCAGCAGGAAGAGAAACACUCCUAGUGGGGAAGUGGGCUCAUCAACUGUUGGCAGCAACGGAGACUUCGAGCAAGAUGCAAACUGAGAGCGUGGGACCCACACGCUCUGCACGCUCAGUCCAGGCUGCUUCUAAGAACAAACAUGAUCUAAGGCCUUCAGGCCAGCAUUCAGGCAGUGAUAGAUUCAAUGCUUCAGCAACCCAGGGAAGACAAAGCUGAGGAUUCUCUAUCUUGUUCCACCGUCCUGUGUGUAGAGCUCUGGUUAAUGUGAAGAGUAGAUUUGAGGGAGGGUGUGCUGGGCUCAUGGCAGACGAGUGUGAGUAGGGUGACCAAGAAGCCCAGAGGGGCAUCAGCAAGGCCUGCAGCUGUAAUG